rnacentral:misc_RNA from 1 species
UUGCUUCGUCUCGCUUUGUUCCUCUCCACGUCACUUGGGUUUCGUCGGCGUCAAGGACUCCGCUUCCGCCCGAAGACUUCGCCUUCUCUUGGCUUGCUCACCGGCUGCGUCUCUUUGGUCGGAGAUUUCCGAUUGUGCUCAUUGCAACCAAGACGAAGAAGACGACGACGAUCCGUCCACGGCGGUCAUCUCCUCCACGGGCGUAUUGACGCCACAGCCCGCUAUGGGUACCUUGAGUUGGCCAUCGAGCAGAUGGCAAAGACUGCAGACGCCAGCAACGCACUCAACCACGGGCUUCACUACCUUCGGUCGACCGGCAAUGCAUGUGCGGCGAGGGUGUUGUUAUGGUGGGGAUGGGAGAACUCCGAUGCUCACGCUGGGCGUCAUGACAGCAGCUCCCCAAGCGAUGCAAGCCGCCUGUUCGACGAAAUAUGUGAGAAUCAAAAUGAACAUGCUCGCGUGUUAGGUCCUUUAUGUGACCCAAAUAACUGA